CCCCUGUGUCAGCGUGGGUUUCCUCCAGGUGCUCUGACAUGUUCUCCCUGUGUCAGCGUGGGUUUCCUCCAGGUGCUCUGACAUGUUCUCCCUGUGUCAGCGUGGGUUUCCUCCAGGUGCUCUGACAUGUUCUCCCUGUGUCAGCGUGGGUUUCCUCCAGGUGCUCUGACAUGUUCUCCCUGUGUCAGCGUGGGUUUCCUCCAGGUGCUCUGACAUGUUCUCCCCGUGUCAGCGUGGGUUUCCUCCAGGUGCUCCAGCUUCCUCCCACAGUCCAAAGACAUGCAGGUUAAUUGGUGACUCUAAAUUGUCCGUAGGUGUGAAUGUGAGUGUGAAUGGUUGUCUGUCUCUAUGUGUCAGCCCUGUGAUAGUCUGGUGACCUGUCCAGGGUGAACCCUGCCUCUCACCCAAUGUCAGCUGGGAUAGGCUCCAGCCCCUGUGACCCCUAGCAGGAUAAGCGGUUAAGGAAAAUGAAUGAAUGAAUGUAGUUGUCCCUCCAUUGUGACAUUAGAAAGUGUCACAUUUAUCUUGCAAGUGUACUCUUCUUCAACGUUUGCUUUACUUCCUGGAUUUUUCCCACAUGGAAAUUCUGACCAAUCAAGAGCAGCUUUCUCACACAAGGCAUUUGAUCUGGUCCUCUUGUAAAUGCUGCCGUGAGAACACGAACCAACUCUAGGCAAUUAUACAGCUUUGGAACAACAUGAGUCCCUGAUUCAGACCAAAGGAGACGACUCUAGGGCUGACAGCAGCCUGAAUACCAACAGUCCUGCCGCUCGUCUUGAUGGUCUGACGCACGCUGAGCCCCGAUGACGAGCAGAAAUGUAUCACACAGUUUUGGGGAAGUUAAAAAUAGGUCAUCUCACAGAAGUCUUGGUGUGUUUAUAUGGUGUCAUACUCUGUUGAAUUAAAUGAGGUAACUUCCUCUUGUGUUAAAAACGAAUCCAGACUUACAGUUCUGAGAGUUGUUUGGUUUCAGAUGAAGCAAAACAAACUUCGAUUUUAAAGUACAGCUCAUCUGGAGGUCAUGACCCCUGAAGUCUGUCCUCUCACAGGUAUUAACAACCAUAUAUCCAACUUCCUGUUAACUCUAUGAUCAGCAGACUAAAUGUCUCAUCAUAGGUUUUCA